rnacentral:rRNA from 1 species
UACGAAGGGUGCAAGCGUUACUCGGAAUUACUGGGCGUAAAGCGUGCGUAGGUGGUGAGUUAAGUCCGAUGUGAAAUCCCCGGGCUCAACCUGGGAAUGGCAUUGGAUACUGGCUCGCUAGAGUGCGGUAGAGGGUGGUGGAAUUCCCGGUGUAGCAGUGAAAUGCGUAGAGAUCGGGAGGAACAUCUGUGGCGAAGGCGGCCACCUGGACCAACACUGACACUGAGGCACGAAAGCGUGGGGAGCAAACAGG